GAUGUAUUCAAGUCUUUGAACUCAGAUGAACUCGAUCCUAUCUAUUGUAUACCUCUCCCCCAAAUUCCCUCCUUAAAAAACAAAACAAAACAAAACCAAAGAAGUCAGAUAUGAUUGUUGAACUAUUCUCAAUUAUCUUUGUCAAGUCAACCAACAUUUAUUAAGUAUCUACCAUGUGCCAGGUACCAUGCUAAUGCAUGAAACACAAAAAGAGGCAAAGGGCCUCGUUUACAAUCUAACGGAGGAGACAAGCAAACAAAUAUUUACAAAAUAAGCUAUAUACCAGAUAAAUAGGAAAUAAGCAACAAGGGAAGGCACUAGGAUGAAGAGUUUGGAAAAGGAUUCCUGUAGAAGUUGGAAUUUUAGAGAGAAUUGAAAGUCAGAAAGGCAAUAGGCAGAGAUGAGGAUGAGAGCAUUUGAGAACAGCCAGGGAAAAUGCCUUGAGCAGACAGUGUCUUUUAUAGAAAAGCAAAGAAGCUCAGAAUACAUGGUCAAGAAUAAGAUGUAAGAAAUCUGGAAAAGGAGGAUGGGCUGUAUCUGAGGGGCUUUGAAUGCCAAGUAGAGUAUUUUGCGUUUGAUCCUUGAGGGCAGAGUCAUAUAAACGACACUACCAAUUAUUAUAUGUUGUUGGGGACAGCGAUGUGGCUCCAGAUUUAGCUCCCGCCUUUCUCCACCCUGUGAGUCCUCGGGUGAGCUGGGCUCUCCGGCUCCCGGGAAAGCUUCUGCAGACGCGCACCAGGUGCGGCAAACACUUUAAAGCUUUCCCAAAGAACAGACAGGGGAGGGCCGGGGCUGGAAUUAAGGAGGCCCUAGUGCCCAGGGCAAUGCCCCGGCAAAGCAUACUCCACGUGGACCAGGAUCCGGGCUGACCCCGCGCCCGGGCCGCCUCAGGGCUAGGCUGAAGGGGAAGUGGGUAGGGACAGACUUGGCGUGCGGCCUUGCUCGAGAGAACCGUAGGGGAGCAGGGAAGAACUUCUCCAGAAGUCUGCAGUUCGCCAUGGCGUGGGCUUGGUUAAGCCAAUGGGUUGGGCUUGGCUAAACAAUGCUGGUUAAGAUCUAAGCAACAGGAAGCCCGAAGGGGUAGCGGAGUGAGGCUGCGGUUAUACGUGCGGUUAUACCAGCCUCUGCCCGCGACCGUGAGCAACUCUGACACUCAUUUUUGCUUUCACAACGGGAACAGAGCCGGGAAAGGGAUCCCCCAAUCCGAGGAGAGCCGAAAGCUGCGGCGUCCGACUGACAGGCAGACCCGCCAAUCAGACGCUGGCUCGGAGCGCAGGAGGCGGGGCUAUUCCCCGGCCUUGACAUUUGCACCUAGGCUUCGGAUUUCCGGGAUGUCCGUCCCGCCCCUCGGGGCUAAGGGAGGAGCCCGGCCAAUUGGGGGCGGUCUGAGGGGAGGUGAGCUGGUGGCUUGGAGAAAUUCCUAAAAAGACUUGUACUUUGCGGAAGGAUGUCCUCCCCCGCGGAGAAAGAGCUCUACAGAAAAUGAUGAGCAAGCUGAUUUCAGAAAAACCUGGAAAGACGUACAAUUGAUGCUAAGUGAAGUGAGCAAAACCAGAAGAUUAUUGUAUUCAGCUACAGCAAAAUUGUGUGGUGAUCAACUAUGAUGGACUUAGGUCUUCUUAAUAAUUAAAUUAUCCAAUGCAAAGCUGAUAAACUUUGUAUGGAAAAAGCCACCUGCAUGCUGAGAGAUAGUUAUACAGAUUGAAUGUGAACUACAAGAUUAAAAGAUUCACCUUUUUUUCUUGUUUCUUGA